UACGGAGGAUCCGAGCGUUAUCCGGAUUUAUUGGGUUUAAAGGGUGCGUAGGUGGAUUGUUAAGUCAGUUGUGAAAGUUUGCGGCUCAACCGUAAAAUUGCAGUUGAAACUGGCAGUCUUGAGUACAGUAGAGGUGGGCGGAAUUCGUGGUGUAGCGGUGAAAUGCUUAGAUAUCACGAAGAACUCCGAUUGCGAAGGCAGCUCACUGGACUGCAACUGACACUGAGGCUCGAAAGUGUGGGUAUCAAACAGG
rnacentral:rRNA from 1 species